rnacentral:rRNA from 1 species
GACGAACGCUGGCGGCGUGCUUAACACAUGCAAGUCGAACGGUGAAGGGACCGGUUUUUGCUGGUUCUGGAUGAGUGGCGAACGGGUGAGUAACACGUGAGUAACCUGCCCCCUUCUUCUGGAUAACCGCAUGAAAGUGUGGCUAAUACGGGAUAUUCUGCGCCUGCUGCAUGGUGGGUGUGGGAAAGAUAUUGUUUCGGUGGGGGAUGGGCUCGCGGCCUAUCAGCUUGUUGGUGGGGUGAUGGCCUACCAAGGCGGUGAUGGGUAGCCGGCCUGAGAGGGUGGACGGUCACACUGGGACUGAGACACGGCCCAGACUCCUACGGGAGGCAGCAGUGGGGAAUAUUGCACAAUGGGCGCAAGCCUGAUGCAGCGACGCCGCGUGAGGGAUGGAGGCCUUCGGGUUGUAAACCUCUUUCGCCAGUGAAGCAGGCCUGUCCCUUUUGUGGGUGGGUUGACGGUAGCUGGAUAAGAAGCGCCGGCUAACUACGUG